GUCAGCGACCAUACCACGAUGACAGCACCGGUUCUCGUCCGAUCACCGAAGUUAAGCAACGCUCAGCCCGGUUAGCACUUGCAUGGGUGACCGGCUGGGAAUACCGGGUGUUGCUGGUG
rnacentral:rRNA from 1 species